CAGUCGCCGCGGUAAUACGAAGGGUGCAAGCGUUACUCGGAAUUACUGGGCGUAAAGCUUGCGUAGGUGGUGGUUUAAGUCCGUUGUGAAAGCCCUGGGCUCAACCUGGGAAUUGCAGUGGAUACUGGGUCACUAGAGUGUGGUAGAGGAUAGUGGAAUUUCCGGUGUAGCAGUGAAAUGCGUAGAGAUCGGAAGGAACAUCUGUGGCGAAGGCGACUAUCUGGGCCAACACUGACACUGAGGCACGAAAGCGUGGGGAGCAAACAGGAUUAGAUACCCCUGUAGUCCCUGUCUCUAUACA
rnacentral:rRNA from 1 species